GUCUAAAUGCUGGAAUCGGUAGACAGAAGUUGCUUAAGCCAACUUGGGUGUAACCCGUGGGUGUUCAAGUCACUCUUUAGAUA
rnacentral:tRNA from 1 species